rnacentral:rRNA from 1 species
GACGAACGCUGGCGGCGUGCUUAACACAUGCAUGUCGAACGAUGAACCGGAGCUUGCUCUGGGGAUUAGUGGCGAACGGGUGAGUAACACGUGGGCAACCUGCCCCAGACACCGGGAUAACCAUUCGAAAGGAUGGCUAAUACCGGAUACGACCACUUCGGGCAUCCGAUGGUGGUGGAAAGGAUUCUGGUCUGGGAUGGGCCCGCGGCCUAUCAGCUUGUUGGUGGGGUAAUGGCCUACCAAGGCGACGACGGGGAGCCGGCCGGGGAGGGCGACCGGCCACAUUGGAACUCAGACGCGGCCCAAACACUUAGGGGAGGACCGAGUGGGGAAUAUUGGUGAAGGGGCGAAAGCCUGAUCCAGCAAGGCCGCGUAAGUGAAGAAGGCCUGCGGGUUGUAAAGCUCUUUCGGACGGAAAGAAAUGGCGCGGGCUAAUAUCCCGUGUGGAUGACGGUACCGUAAGAAGAAGCACCGGCUAACUAC